UACGUAGGGCGCAAGCGUUGUCCGGAAUUAUUGGGCGUAAAGAGCUCGUAGGUGGCGUGUCGCGUCUGCCGUGAAAGCCCAUGGCUUAACUGUGGGUCUGCGGUGGAUACGGGCAGGCUGGAGGCUGGUAGGGGCAAGCGGAAUUCCUGGUGUAGCGGUGAAAUGCGCAGAUAUCAGGAGGAACACCGGUGGCGAAGGCGGCUUGCUGGGCCAGUUCUGACGCUGAGGCGCGAAAGCCAGGGGAGCAAACGGG
rnacentral:rRNA from 1 species